UUUAUACUCAUUCCGUUCCAAAAUUCUUGUUUUAGAUUUGUCUAGAUAUGAAUGCAUCUAGUCACGGUUUGGUAUUUAGAUACAUCCAUUUUUAGACAAACCUAAGCCAAGAAUUUUAGGACGGAGGGAGUAGUAU
rnacentral:pre_miRNA from 1 species